rnacentral:lncRNA from 1 species
AAAACUUCAGGAGCAAGUAGUAUCGGAUUUGAGGGAUAUAGGACAGCUCUCUCUUGGUGCUGCAAAUGUGAAGGAUGUGGAAUAUUGUCCUCCUGAAUCUGAGAAUUUUAUUCCAUGUUUCAAUGUGUCGGAAAAUCUUGACUUGGGCCUUUCUAAAGGCGAGGAGGUUGACCGGUACUGUGGACCUGGUUCAAGACAAAAUUGUUUGGUACUUCCCCCUGUUAAUUACAAGACUCCUCUAAGAUGGCCUACCG